rnacentral:rRNA from 1 species
UACGAACUGUGCGACCGUUAUUCGGAAUCACUGGGCUUACAGGGUGCGUAGGCGGCUUGUUAAGUAGGGUGUGAAAGCCCCCGGCUCAACCGGGGAAUGGCGCCCUAAACUGGCGAGCUGGAGUGAGAUAGGGGUGUGCGGAACUUCCGGUGGAGCGGUGAAAUGUGUUGAUAUCGGAAGGAACGCCGGUGGCGAAAGCGGCACCCUGGAUCGCAACUGACGCUGAGGCACGAAAGCCAGGGGAGCGAACGGG